CAGCAGCCACGGGAAUACGAAGGGUGCAAGCGUUAAUCGGAAUUACUGGGCGUAAAGCGUGCGUAGGCGGUGAGUUAAGUCUGCUGUGAAAUCCCCGGGCUCAACCUGGGAACUGCAUUUGUGACUGUAUAGCUAGAGUACGGCAGAGGGGGAUGGAAUUCCGCGUGUAGCAGUGAAAUGCGUAGAUAUGCGGAGGAACACCGAUGGCGAAGGCAAUCCCCUGGGCCUGUACUGACGCUCAUGCACGAAAGCGUGGGGAGCAAACAGGAUUAGAGACCCCCGUAGUCCCUGUCUCUUAUAC
rnacentral:rRNA from 1 species